UACGUAGGGUGCAAGCGUUGUCCGGAAUUAUUGGGCGUAAAGAGCUCGUAGGCGGUCUGUCGCGUCUGCUGUGAAAACUCGGGGCUUAACCCCGGGCCUGCAGUGGGUACGGGCAGACUAGAGUGCGGUAGGGGAGACUGGAAUUCCUGGUGUAGCGGUGAAAUGCGCAGAUAUCAGGAGGAACACCUAUGGCGAAGGCAGCACACUGGAGCACUCCUGACACUGAAACAUGAAAGCGUGGGUAGCGAAUGGG
rnacentral:rRNA from 1 species